AUAUAUAUAACAAAAGAAAGAAUAGAAAUGAGAAAGAAAGAAACAGAGAGCAAAACGAAACAGAGAAGGGAGAAAGAAGAAAAAGAAAGAGCGACGGUUCAGGGGUUUUAAAACUUCUAAAUUCAAUUGGUAAGUCAAUUUAGUCCCUUUUUCUUAUGGUUUUGAUAUUUUUGGAAUCCUAGAGCAAAAUACUACUUGAUUUAAGUAGAAAUUUUGGAAGUUAGUAGAUUAUUAGAUGUUGUUCAUGUUGAAUUAAUUGAUGAAUUAGAGGUUAAAAUGAUUGAAUUUUAAGUUAAAAGUUAGUAAAAGGUUGAUUUGUAAAAUAAAACAUAAGUUUUGAAUUGAUAGGGAUUAAAUUGAAAGAAUCCCGAAAUUAGGGAUUUAUGGGGAAAUUGAAGAAUUAAACUGAGUUUAUAGUAAGAAUUAAGAGAGAAUAUAGAGUUAGAAUGGAAAAAUAAAAUUAGUAUUGGUAAGGGAUUAAAUUAAAAUUUGGGUAAAGUUUAGGUAUAAAAGGAAAUAUUUUAAUGAAAUUGAGUAUUAAUGAUUUUUAAUUGUUUAAUUACGUAGCUAAUGUCGUGUACGAGUCAUUGUCCGAGAAAGGAAAGGAGAAGGUGGACAAGGAUUGACUCGGGAGAAAUUUCGGUUAGUAUUACUAUAAUUCGAAUUUAAUUAAUAAUCGUUGAAAAUUAAAUUAAUAUACACGAUAAGCAAAUUGAGGUGAGUUUCAUAAUUGAAUUGAAUAAUAUAUAUACGUAUUGAUAUUGAAUUUAUUGACAGUAAUUAUUGAAUUUUGAAUAAUAUGUUAGUAAAUAAAAAUAAGGAGAAUAUCAAUAUUUAAUUGAAUGAAUUAAAAUAUGAAUUGAAUAAAGGAGAUAUUAAAUUGAGAUAUGUGAAUAUGUGAAUUGUGUAUUGAUUGAAAAGUGGUUUGAAUUGAAUCGAAGUAUGAUUAUAUGUGAAUAUCUGAAAUAUGUAUUGGUAUUGAAUUGUAUAUUGAUUUGAAAGUGGGAAGUGAAUCUGAGUUGAAUUGCGAUUAAAUCGAAAGUGAAUUUGAAAUAGAAAAAUGUAUUGAAACAAAUAGUGAUUAAAUGGGAAUGAUUUGAAUUGAAAGUAUGAGAAAGUGAUUGAAUUGAAAUGUGAUUCGGAAACCCUAUUAACUAGUCGGGCUGAGUCGGAUAUAGUUGGCAUGCCAUAGGAUUGGAAGAGUUCAGGGAUACUUCGACCUUGAGUCGAUGAGACACUGGGUGUCAUACUAUUACUUCGGAUAGAUUCGAUGAGGUACUGGGUACCAACUUACUUCGGCUUGGCCGAUGAGACACUGGGUGUCAACUAUUGCUUCGAACUAUCCGAUGAGGCACUGGGUGCCAUUCUGGUGUGUUUGGUUGGAUCCGUGUAUCCGCCAAGGUCCGAGUCUUGUUAAUAGGGGUAAAUAAUUGAAAUGAGAAAAUUGAAUAAAUGUGAUUGAUUGAGCUAUGGGAAGAAACGAAAAAGUGAAGUUGUGAAUUGAUGUGUGAAUUGGAAAUCGAAAUAAGAGAUUUAAAGAUAUGAGCCCAAAGUUCAUGAUGUGAUAAAGAGUAAAUUUUGUUAUAUGAUAUUAGUGAGUACAAAUUGCAAUAAAAUUGAUAUUGAAUAUAAAUUAAAUGAAAUGAAUUGUAUAUGAAUUGAAAUGAACUACUGGAAUGAGAUGUAAAGAAAAAUCCCAUGGAAUUGAGAUAGUGAAAUAAGGUAUGAAUACAAUUAAAUACAAGAUUUGAAUUAUAGCUUAUUGUUAUUAAUUAUCAAGUUGAUUUAAUGCAUGAGAUAAUUAAUGAAUAAUUGUAGACAUAAAUAAAAUGUAUAUAAUUUAUCGAUUAAUGUUAUUAAUUUGAAUUAUGGUAAUACCACUGAGUAUACCCAUACUCAGCGUACGGUUGUUUCCGUGCGCAGGAUUGUAGAAAACCAGUGUUCGAACCAGCAUCCAAAGUAAUCCCGACCUCAGAGACAUUUUAGUGAUGUACCUUUCUGUUGAUAAUGUGGCAUGUACCUAAGUAAUGUACAUACCUAGGUAAUGUAUAUACCUAAGUGAUGUAUAGAGAUUAGUAAUUUUGUAUAUUUGUAAAUAUGAUUUUACUAUAGAAUGAUGUGUAAGUAUUUGAUGAUGAAUGGUUGUUUAAAUGGUCAAGG
rnacentral:lncRNA from 1 species